rnacentral:snoRNA from 1 species
UUGUCAGGUGAAAUAAUGCUUACCUGUUCCUCCUUUGGAGGGCAGAUUAGAACAUGAUGACUAGAAUUUGUAUGAUACAUAAUUAACAUCUCUGUGUAAUCAGGACCUGCGACACUCUGAUUGCUCCUGGG